rnacentral:pre_miRNA from 1 species
UGGACAGAUUAUUGUAUUCAAUUGUAUUCGACUGUAUUCAUGGCGUGAAAUAGGGGAUUACACUAUUUUUUAAAACGGAAAGUGAAUCAAUUAACAUAAUAGACUCCU